CAGAUCACAAAACAGUUACCUAUGACAAAGACAACUUCUGUCAACCAAAAGUAAAAGUCUAGCGCUAUGGCUUUCUGUUGACAAGGCACUGAAGUCUGAAGGCACUGGAACUGGUACUGCUUGAUAAGUCUCAAGUGAAGUUAUAGCACUGACUUACUUAAAAUUAUAGACCUUGAUGCAGAUUGUAAUGACGCUCACCCAUUUUUCACUCUAAUCAAGAGAGUAGGAUACCGCAGUCUGACCAUAUGGGCCAAAACGACCUGGUAAGUACUAAAUAAAUUGCAACUUGUGUAACUUCAUCAGAAUAUAAGUGGUGCAAGCUCAGAUUCAGCAGUUAUUAAGGGAAAGAGGAGACUGCAGUGAAGAGGAUGGAAGAACCCCAUUCUGUACUGCUAUGACAAUGUCUUUUCAGGGUCAGGAGCUUCUGGUUGGGAUGCGACAUGCUAGUUCCUGAGACCUGCAGACAGCACUAGGAGACAUCCCCUCCGAACAGGAAAGAACAGUGAAAGAUUGCACAGCUAUUUUAUAUAACUCUUCCCCAAACGUUAUGGUUUACUGUGUAUGAUUACAUUGGGAAUUCAUUUCUGGUAACAAAGCACUUGCUGGCACUGUGAAAUUUAUCACAGUAAUUUUUAAAUCCAUUUUCUUCCCAGACUUAGCAAUAUCUGCCUGCAUCAGACAAAAAAGCAUUUAUACUAUACAUAUAUUAAGAACUCGUGUAAGUACCUGCUCAUGAGCUAAGAACUGCUAAGCAUUUUAGAGUGCCAUACAAACUCCAGACAACUCUCUGUGCACUAAUGUGCUCCCUGCUGCACUCCCACAUUUCUAUAUGGACUGAGAACUGCUUUGUUUCUACAUUUAUUUAGAUAAAGUUUAUCUGUUCUCCACCUCAUUUUAAAUCCCUUCUGUAUGCUUCCAGUUAGUGCAGCAAGCACCAGCAUAAGCUCAAACAUUCCACAGAUAGUGGAAUAACUGUACAUGUUGGUUAUCCAUCAUCUUUAUCAAACUGUUUCCAAAACAAAUAUUGGCUUCUCAGUGCUUACAGAUCUCUGAUAUGAAUGCUACCCGGGUUGAUGAUCCAAGUCAUUUAAUCCCCCAUAAUACUCAGAUACCAACAUGAAAUGGACAACCAGCAAAUUUUCCAGUCCAUGUCCUGUUAAAAUAGCUGGUCACACACUGCAACCAUGUUUUGAGGUGAAGGAAGCAAGCAGAACCAGUCACACUACCGCAAGAUACUUUGUUAUGAACUAAUCCUCGUUCCCCUCCCAGCCCUGGGUGGAGUUGUUCCUUUGUGCAGCUUGGAAAUGGACCUCUCUGGAUUCUUCUGCAGAAGACAACAGAACCUAGAGCCAAGUCUUAGGAGAGCAGGUGGACGUGGCAAGGCCCCACAUGUAGGACUGACCUACACUCAGGUCAAGGUGUCAGGAAGCAGCCGAGAAGAAACCUUGCCAGUGCCAAGUCCAGCUAGAGAGCUGAAAAUUAAGAAGUAAGAGGAGCUACAACCCAGGAGUACAGGAGUAAGAGAAACGUAGCCUUCUACCGUGGGAAGAGCGAAGACUUUCAAAAAUGAAAAACUUACACGCUCCUUUGCUUCAGUUUACCCUCUUUUUUCUUCAUUGCAUUGGGCUGACAUAAAUCUACCUUUUUAAAUCUGCCUUUCUAUUAUCUA